UACGGGGGGGGCAAGCGUUGUUCGGAAUUAUUGGGCGUAAAGAGCUUGUAGGCGGUUUGUCGCGUCUGCUGUGAAAAUCCGGGGCUCAACCCCGGACUUGCAGUGGGUACGGGCAGACUAGAGUGUGGUAGGGGAGACUGGAAUUCCUGGUGUAGCGGUGAAAUGCGCAGAUAUCAGGAGGAACACCGGUGGCGAAGGCGGCUCUCUGGAACGCAACUGACGCUGAGACGCGAAAGCGUGGGGAGCAAACAGG
rnacentral:rRNA from 1 species